rnacentral:rRNA from 1 species
GCGGCAGGCUUAACACAUGCAAGUCGAACGGAUCGUCCUUCGGGGCGGUUAGUGGCGGACGGGUGAGUAACACGUGGGAACGUGCCUUUAGGUUCGGAACAACACAGGGAAACUUGUGCUAAUACCGGAUGUGCCCGAAAGGGGAAAGAUUUAUCGCCUUUAGAGCGGCCCGCGUCUGAUUAGCUAGUUGGUGGGGUAAAGGCUUACCAAGGCUACGAUCAGUAGCUGGUCUGAGAGGAUGGCCAGCCACAUUGGGACUGAGACACGGCCCAAACUCCUACGGGAGGCAGCAGUGGGGAAUCUUGCGCAAUGGGCGAAAGCCUGACGCAGCCAUGCCGCGUGGAUGAUGAAGGUCUUAGGAUUGUAAAAUCCUUUCAGCGGGGACGAUAAUGACGGUACCCGCAGAAGAAGCCCCGGCUAACUUCGUGC